rnacentral:rRNA from 1 species
CACGUAGGGUGCGAGCGUUGUCCGGAAUUACUGGGCGUAAAGGGCGCGUAGGCGGCCUUCUAAGUCGAACGUGAAAGUCCCCGGGCUCAACCCGGGAACUGCGUCCGAUACUGGGAGGCUUGAAUCCGGGAGAGGGAUGUGGAAUUCCAGGUGUAGCGGUGAAAUGACGCAGAUAUCAGGAGGAACACCAAUGGCGAAGGCAGAUCUCUGGGCCGUAACUGACGCUGAGGAAGCGGAAAGCAUGGGGAGCGAACAGG